rnacentral:lncRNA from 1 species
AAAAUGGCCAGAAACAAAUUACUUUCUCAUUCUCAUCUCAUUCCAAAAUCAUGGGCAUUAAUAUGGAGUUGGUCUCCCCUUUGCUGCUAUAACAGCCUCCACUCUUCUGGGAAGGCUUUCCACUAGAUGUUGGAACAUUGCUGCGGGUACGUGCUUCCAUUCAGCCACAAGCACAUUAGUGAAGUCGGGCACUGAUGAUGGGCGAUUAGGCCUGGUUCGCAAUCGGUGUUCCAAUUAAUCUCAAAGGUAUUCAAUGGGGUUGAAGUCAGGGCUCUGCGCAGGCCAGUGAAGUUCUUCCACGCCGAUCUCAACAAACCAUUUCUGUAUGGACCUCGCUUUGUGCACGGGGGCAUUGUCAUGCUGGAACAUGAAAGGGCCUUCCCCAAACUUCGCUCUUGCACAGGGGCGGCAGCGUAGCCUAGUGGGGCAGGUUGCAAGAUCGAAUCCCCGAGCUGACAAGGUACAAAUCUGUCGUUCUGCCCCUGAACAAGGCAGUUAACCCACUGUUCCUAGGCCAUCAUUGAAAAUAAGAAUUUGUUCUUAACUGACUUGCCUAGUUAAAUAAAGGUAAAAUUAAAAAAAACUGUUGCCACAAACUUGGAAGCACAGAAUUGUCUAGAAUGUCAUUAUAUGCUGUAGCAUUAAGACUUCCCUUCACUGUAACUAAGGGGCCUAGCCCAAACCAUGAAAAACAGCCCCAGACCAUUAUUCCUCCUCCACCAGAUGUUAUAGUUGGCACUAUGUUAUAGUUGGCACAGGUAGCGUUCUCCUGGCAUCGACCAGAUGGUGAAGCGUGAUUCAUCACUCCAGAGAAUGCAUUUCCACUGCUCCAGAUGCCAAUGGCGGCGAGCUUUACACCACUCCAGCCGACGCGUGGCAUUGCACAUGGUGAUCUUAGGCUUGUGUGCGGCUGCUCGGCCAUGGAAUCCAAUUUCAUGAAGCUCCCGACGAACAGUUCUUGUGCUGACGUUGCUUCCAGAGGCAGUUUGGAACUCGGUAAACUACAAAUGCCUGUCUCAAGCUUCACAUCACCAGGGCCAUGAUGAUCUGGACGAGACUGCCGAAUUGAGGCAAAGGCCGGUGGUAGCUGGUCCCCUGCAGGAAGGUGAGGUACCGGAAGUCCCUCCGGAUCCUCUGGACAUCGGGGGCUCCCCGGCGUAAAGCAUAAGGGCCAUUCUGGACUCGAGACGCCGGGUCAGGGGCCUGCAGUACCUCGUGGACUGGGAGGGUUACGGCCCGGAGGAGAGGUGCUGGGUACCGGUGGAGGACGUCUUGGACCCGUCCCUGUUGAGGGAUUUCCAUCGCCUCCACCCGGAGCACCCUGCGCCUCGCCCUCCGGGUCGCCCUCAAGGCCGGUGUCGGCGCGCUGCGGGAGCCGCGCGUCAGUGGGGGGGUACUGUCACGACUCCUACCGAAGGUGGCCCCCCCUCCUGCUCGGGUGGCGCUCGGCGGUCGUCGUCACCGGCCUACUAGCUGCCACUGAUUCCCUUUUUGUUUUCCCCCUUUUCGUUAUUAGGUGCACCUGUUCUGAGUUG